UGCUGGCAUAGCUCAGCCGGUAGAGCAGCUGAUUCGUAAUCAGCUGCUCAGGUGUUCGAGUCACCCCCAGCUCC
rnacentral:tRNA from 1 species